GCGGCGGUAGCUCAGUUGGUAGAGCAUUAGCUUCCCAAGCUAAAUGUCGAGGGUUCGAACCCCUUCCGCCGCU
rnacentral:tRNA from 1 species